CACCCGAUGGCACAAGGUGUGCGCCUGUUGCUUGUUCUCUGUAUGUAACCUUGUAAUCAGGAAGUCCCUGUUCGAUUCGAGGUCGGGUGC